GGUGGCUCAGUGGUAGAGUGCUUGCCUUGCAUGUAUGAGGCCCUAGGUUCGAAUCCUCAGCACCA
rnacentral:tRNA from 1 species